GAUGAACGCUGGCGGCGUGCUUAACACAUGCAAGUCGAACGAAGCGAGUCAGAGGAAGUUUUCGGAUGGAAUCUGAUGAGCUUAGUGGCGGACGGGUGAGUAACGUGUGGGCAACCUGCCCUUUACUGGGGAAUAAUCAUUAGAAAUGAUGACUAAUACCGCAUGUCGUCACCGGAGGGCCUCCUCUGGUGAAAAAAGGAUUUAUUCGGUAAAGGAUGGGCCCGCAGCUGAUUAGCUAGUUGGUGAGAUAACAGCCCACCAAGGCGACGAUCAGUAGCCGACCUGAGAGGAUGAUCGGCCACAUUGGGACUGAGACACGGCCCAAACUCCUACGGGAGGCAGCAGUGGGGAAUAUUGCACAAUGGGGGAAACCCUGAUGCAGCAACGCCGCGUGAAGGAAGACGGUUUUCGGAUUGUAAACUUCUAUCGACAGGGAAGAAAUAAAUGACGGUACCUGAAUAAGAAGCCCCGGCUAACUACGUGCCAGCCGCCGCAGUAAGAC
rnacentral:rRNA from 1 species